UACGGGGGGAGCAAGCGUUGUCCGGAAUCAUUGGGCGUAAAGAGCGUGUAGGCGGCCCGAUAAGUCCGCCGUGAAAGUCCAGGGCUCAACCCUGGAAUGCCGGUGGAAACUGUCGGGCUGGAGUCCGGAAGAGGCGAGUGGAAUUCCUGGUGUAGCGGUGAAAUGCGCAGAUAUCGGGAGGAACACCAAUGGCGAAGGCAGCUCGCUGGGACGUGACUGACGCUGAGACGCGAAAGCGUGGGGAGCAAACAGG
rnacentral:rRNA from 1 species